AGCUUUGCACAGUGGCAGUAUAGUAGCCAAUGAGGUUUAUCCGUGGCAUGAUUAUUACUAGUUGAAAUGAAUUAUUGUGACAGAUGCUGUAGAGCUUCUGAUAAAUGAGAUGGAUGGAUAAUCUAUAAUCAGUUUCUUUCCACCUAGGCUAUCUUAUCAAUCUUUGUGAGACAUUAAAUGU
rnacentral:snRNA from 1 species